rnacentral:tRNA from 1 species
GACUGAUGGUCGAGAGGCAAGGACAUUUGACUCUCACCUAAAACUCCCGGGUUCGAAUCCCGGCCGUGACA